rnacentral:misc_RNA from 1 species
UGUCCCUCUCUCUCUCUCUCUCUCUCUCGGCUAAUUUAUUUGUUUUCUUGUGUUUCUUGCUCUUGUUGUUAUGGCUGCUACUCUUACACAUAGUGCAAGUGCACCACCUCAGUUUUACUUUGAUGAAAAGUGGAAGCUCUCAAAGAAAGAAGGAUCAUCAAGAAGCAGCCGCUCUUCAAAUUCUCCUCUUAUGAAGAAUUCGUCUCAGAGAAGGUGUUCUUUUACAAGAAAGUGUGCAAGGUUGGUUAAAGAACAGAGAGCCAGGUUCUACAUCAUGAGGAGGUGUAUUAGUAUGCUCAUUUGCUGGAGAGAUUAUAGUGAUUCUUGAAUCAAGUGAAGGGAGAAACCAAAGAUUGAGGGAUUCAUCAAGAAAGAGAGAGAGAGAGAAAUUGAAUUAAAAGUUGAUUCUUCAUCUCUCUCUCUGUGCUUUUCUUGUUUUGGCCUCUUUCUUGAUUUCUCUUUCUUUCUGUGAGAUGGGCUCUUGGGUUCGCUCCAAAAUAGACCCAAUUUCUAGGCAUUUUCUUGGCAUCCAAGGAGGAAGAGGAAGGAGAUCAUAUGAAUGUAUAUAAAUAGACUUAUUUUGGCCUUUGGUGUUGUACUGUUUUAAUGUUUUUGCCUAUUGGUUUAGAUUUUUUGGGCUCUGAAUCUCCUUUGAAGGAGAUGGCUGAGAUCUUAAUGCUACUGUUACUUUCACUACUAGAGAUUAAUUAUGAUGAUAGAGAGAAGAAC